GACGAACGCUGGCGGCAUGCUUUACACAUGCAAGUCGAACGGUAACAGGCCGCAAGGUGCUGACGAGUGGCGAACGGGUGAGUAAUGCAUCGGAACGUGCCCAGUCGUGGGGGAUAACGCAGCGAAAGUUGCGCUAAUACCGCAUACGAUCUAUGGAUGAAAGCGGGGGACCGUAAGGCCUCGCGCGAAUGGAGUGGCCGAUGUCAGAUUAGGUAGUUGGUGGGGUAAAGGCUCACCAAGCCGACGAUCUGUAGCUGGUCUGAGAGGACGACCAGCCACACUGGGACUGAGACACGGCCCAGACUCCUACGGGAGGCAGCAGUGGGGAAUUUUGGACAAUGGGCGCAAGCCUGAUCCAGCAAUGCCGCGUGCAGGAAGAAGGCCUUCGGGUUGUAAACUGCUUUUGUACGGAACGAAACGGUCCUGGUUAAUACCCGGGGCUAAUGACGGUACCGUAAGAAUAAGCACCGGCUAACUACGUGCCAGCCGCCGCCGUAAAAC
rnacentral:rRNA from 1 species